rnacentral:lncRNA from 1 species
CGCAAAUCAUGACGACAUCGACGUCCUUGUUCGUACACUGGAACCUUGCCUUGGCAUUCGCAAAUCCUUAAUUAUAAAAUCCCCAAUUUCAGAGAAUCUGUUUUUUUUAUAUAGGAGGUAGAGGAGAGGAAGAAUUUGGUGAGGCAGAUGUGGAAUGUGUACACACAUAGUCGUCAUAUCCAGUUGCCGGUGUUCUGGCAGAAGGCUUUUGCGGCGAGCUACGACCAAAUGGUGAGCGAAGAUCUGGAGAUGUCAGAUGCUGCCGUCUUGGAGAUUGCCAAGAUGUCUAUGAGGGUCGUUGAACUGAAACCGCCUACAACAGAAGAAGACGAGGUACGAUUUUUUAUUUUAUUUGUUAGUGCUGAAAAUCGAAAUCUCGAUGGUAUCAGACUAUCAGUAUCAACCAGUGAUUAUUGAAUGAUUAAUUAAUUAGGGUUCUGGAGACGAUAAUGAUGGAUCAAAUGAAGAUGGCAACGACAACAAGAAACCAAAAUCAGAUAUUCAGAAGGUAUGAUUUUUUUUUAAUUUGAUAUGAUACGAAAAAAGAAGAAGAUGAUGACGAAGAAAGUGAUCGUAAAGUAAAAGUGUUGGCAAAAAACUGUGUUCAACAUUUGUUAAGAUUAAUGUAAGUUUUUUUCUAAAAUAAUGUGGCUUUUCCUCUAAAUCCUCUUGUAAAGCCAAGCCCAGCCCACUUGUAAAAGGUAAUUAAUAAAUGAACUGAAUUAUUCAUUUGGCCAUUUGAGGUCAGCUUCGGUUAAGAUCUAUUAAAAAAUUAAAUAUUGUGAGAUAUUUAGAUAUCAGUCUUCAAUUUCUUAUUAGAGGUACAAUCUGCUACAAUCUCAUCUAUAGAGGUAAUCAUUAGAUCAACAAUGAAUGGUGGGAUGACAUUUAUAUUUGGGAUCGACCUUAACUAUUCCAUUUGACUCUCCAUGAGAGUAUAGACAUUUUUAAUGCCAAUGACUUUUUAAUAUCCAUUUGGUAUGAUUUUUAAUAUCCAAAUUCCUUUUGAGAUCAGAGCCGGUUAUCACUCACACUCACUUCUAUGUUAAUUCGAUCAGAUAAGAUGUUUAAAGGCUAUUUAUAGUGCAUGAUUAGGGUCGAAGAGGGUUAGAUUCCAUCAUAAUCAAUAGAAUCACAACUCGCCCCGUUCUUACCCAUAUAUGGUUCAGAAUCUAAUGGUUUGUCGACGUUGUUUAAAUCCAUGAUGAAUUCACGGUCAAACCAGUGUGUUGAAUAAUAAUAUGGUUCAUAAACUUAUCGAUGUUGUGGUUCUGAAUUUCACUGAAGCAGACAACAUAGGUUUUGCUUCAGUGAAUGAUGUUCAUCAGGCUCCUUAAGACGAUGCAUCAGAAAAACCUUUUUUUUAUUUUUUUUAUUUUUUAUAGUGGUACGUGGUAUUGAAUGCAUUUAAGUAUGAAAAAUAAAAUAAAGCUAAAGGAAAUAAAGAUCAUUACCCCAUGCAAGACCAUCUCAUAACAUGACUCUUUGAUGCUCUUUGUUGGUUUAAUGAUUUCUUUUGUACCUUUCUUCCCGAAGGUCGAUGUCGGUAUUCCGACAGGCGUACUUUCAAGCAAGUUCCACUGGAGUGUUUAUGAGGAUGCCAACGACUGAAACAUUUCCGAUUGACUUAGGCUGAUCAUCCACCUAAAAUGCAAAUACACACUUGGAGGACUCAUCGCGAGUAGCUGCACUGAUACAAGACAUCGUCUAUUGACUCAUCAUUGUCACUGCAUAAUACAAACUUCACCGGUCCGAUUAUCCCCGACAACAAAAGAACCUGGCAAUGUGGUAAAGCAAUCUUGGAACGUUUCCGAUUGACUCGUGAUUGUUUGUAAGAAGGUUGUCAACGACUGAAAUGUUUUUGAUUAACUUAGGGUGAUCACUCUACCUAAAAUGUAGAUUCACACUUAGAGGACCCAUCGCGAGUAGCUGCACUGAUAGAAGACAUCGUCUAUUGACUCAUCACUGUCACUGCAUAAUACAUACUUCACCGGUUAGACUAUCCCCGACAACAAAAGAACCUGGCAGUGUGGUAGAGCAAUCUUGGAACGUUUUCGAUUGACUCAUAAUUGUUUGUAAGGAAGUUGCCAACGAUUGAAAUGUUUUGGAUUAACUUAGGGUGAUCACUCUACCUAAAAUGCAGAUACACUCUUGGAGGACCCAUUGCGAGUAGCUGCACUGAUAGAAGACAUCGUUUAUUGACUCAUCACUGUCACUGCAUAAUACACACUUCACCGGUCCGACUAUCCCCGACAACAAAAGAACCUAGCAGUGUGGUAGAGCAGUCUUGGAACGUUUUCGAUUGACUCAUAAUUGUUUGUAAGGAGAUUGCCAACGAUUGAAAUGUUUUCGAUUAACUUAGGGUGAUCACUCUACCUAAAAUGCAGAUACACUUUUGGAGAACCCUUUGCGAGUAGCUGCACUGAUAGAAAACGUCGUCUAUUGACUCAUCACUGUCACUGCAUAAUACACACUUCACCGGUUCGACUAUCCCCGACAACAAAAGAACCUGGCAAUGUGGUAAAGCAGUCUUGGAAUGUUUCCGAUUGACUCGUGAUUGUUGUUUGUAAGGAGAUUGUCAACGAUUGAAAUGUUUUCGAUUAACUUAGGGUGAUCAUUCUACCUAAAAUGCAGAUACACUUUUGAAGGACCCUUCGCGAGUAGCUGCACUGAUAGAAAACGUCGUCUAUUGACUCAUCACUGUCACUGCAUAAUACACACUUCACCGGUUCGACUAUCCCCGACAACAAAAGAACCUGACAAUGUGGUAAAACAGUCUUAAAAUGUUUCCGAUUGACUUAGAGUCAUCACUUCACCUAAAAUACAAAUACACUCUUAUACCCAUCCCCAACAACCUCACGAGUGGCAUAGUACACACAUCACGAGUCCGACUAUCCCCAACAACAUAACAACAUGGUAAUGUGGCUGAGAUAUGAUAGAAUCAAAUAAUCUUAUCUUAAAAUUUGUGUUCAAUAACCCUAGUUGACCUAUGCCUGAUAGAAGCUAGCUAGCUAUCACCGCAAUUUGACAAAGUAGGUAGGUGUCAUUGGGUGAAAUAGUUUUACUAUUCCCCCCAAAAUCUUCAUUGUUCUUCAGGCCUAACGCUAAUUAACGCUAUCAACUCAUUUCACUUCACAAGUUCACGUCAAUUUAAUAUAAAGAAUCUUCUACUCUCUCAAGGAAUCAGUCAAAAUAGAAAAAAUACAAUUAUUUUUUCCUACAUUUGUGAUCUGUGUGACUGUGUCUUCUUACUAGAAUUCAAAGAAUUUAUUAUAGCCAAGUCUUCUCAAAGAACCUAGCUGUCGGAAUAGGGGAUUAGAAGGCAUAUGCAUACCCAGAACUCACAUCCGAAGUUCAUAUUGGAAAAUGGAAAACACAAGAAUAUAAGGACCUUACAGAGAUCAUCCUCGUGGUGUAUAGUUGGUUGGACUGUUCUAGAAUUUGAGUAAAUAAAAUCAACUACCAGAUUUUAGAACCCAAAAUCUCACAGCUUUGCAUUGGUGCACAUGGUUGAUCUGCAUAAAGUAGAAUGAUAAAUUAAAAUUCAUCCCAAGCUAUAAAUAACAUCUUAAGCUUUGGUACUUACUGUAGCCUGUAGGUCCAGACUCCAGAAGUAAAGAAUCAAGCUUAAAAUCACCAAGCAUUCGAUGGACCACAGAACCUAAGAACCAAAAAAACCAAUAUAAGAAAGAUUCUGAAUUCCACCGUCCCAAGAAAACCUACAAGUCUAUAAAUUUAUCUACCCAUUGUCAAUUGCCAUCGCAUAUCUUUUCCAUAUCUACAAGCUUCACCAAUGGAGGUGCCCACAUAUCAAGUCUGAGGAGUGAGGGAAAUGGAAGUAAAAUUGUUCAAAAAGCGAGGGAAUGUGAGAAUGGGGGGAGGGUUUCUUAGAGGUUUACAGAUAUUUAUCAUGUCAUUAACCACAAGAAUCUCAAAGACAUACAUACUACACAUGCUUACGAAACGUUCUGAGCAGAACAGGGUUGUUGAAAUGACCUAUUUGCAGGACGGCCAUCAAAUCCCAUCCAUCCCCAUCAAUCUUUUUCACACUGCUCAUUUUUUU